UGCUAAGCAGUGCCCAUUACCACUAUCCUCCUGGCAGUUCUAAACUGAGGCAUGUCACUUCACCGAUCUCUUUGCAUAGCCCACCACAUGCACUGUUUUCUUAACCGCGACUGGAUGGAUCCAUAGAGAAUUACUGUGGGAAUAAAUAUCACUGAAUAACGAACAUUUUUACUAAAGUAGGCUAACGAAAUUGAAGGGAUCAAAUUGUUAUAAUACAAUUGAAGCAAUAGCCUACCUGCGUGUGGUCAACUUUCAACUAUUUCAGCACCGUUUCGUGAGGACUCGUCUUGAUAAAUCAAUCAAUGACAGAUUUUUUUUUCUUACUAAAUCUCCGUUUGGGUAUUGGUUAGGCUACAAUUAGGCUGUGGAAAUGUUAGCUAAAUUGAGCUGAGAAUUCCACCCUGGAUUAAGACCAUUCUGUCUAAUGUUUUGUGUUUGCAGAAAACUAAAUUGGAGAGGCAUUGUGGAAGUGUGUGGAUGCUGUGAGUAUUCUCACAGAAUGAGGCGUUGGGAGCACCAUCUGUUUUCACCACCUCCAGAUCAGGGAUGGCUGAACAGUGAUUCCUCCAGUUACCUUUCAAGACGGAAAACAAUACGAUAUCCUUCAAAUAAUUCAGAACUAAGAAUACUAAUCUUAACUCGCAAGCGUGGAAACUAAAAACACUUUCAGAUUUCUAGGUCAUUGUUGGAGGGACACAUUUAGGCGAGUUUUGUUUUCACUUGAAAGAGCAGCAAAAUAUUUAACAAAGCACUUACCUGGGAAACUUAGAUACACUUCUUCCACGUCAGUUUUGCACUUACAUACCAGCUGUGAAAAGUGUCUAUGUACAUCCUUUUCAACAAUAAAUUCACUUACUCCAAAGAG